GACGCGUUUACUAAAAAGAUUCAUAAUCAAAAGAAACGCCACUAAAAGGCGGUAUAAACUGAAAAAUUGCGCUACCGAAGCGAAAGCUGCUCUGAGUUGAUUUUUAUUUAUUUAUCAGAUUCUAUGACAGAAUCACAUUCAAAAAUAAGGUUUGUGACACUUGGAAUCGCGGGACGGUGCCAGUUUGCCAGAGGCAUAUUUUGAGUGUGUCAGCUAUCAGAAACACUCCAGUGUUUCAGGGAUGGCAUCAGCUCAGGGUGGGUUUCUCGUCUGUGAGGCUCUCUGGACGGAUGGACCUGCGGGUUUGAUCUGCCUGGAUCAGGCACAUACUGUUUGACAGGCUCAUGCAAAUGCAAACAGACAAGAGUAAGAGUCAGAGGAUGUGAAAAACUAACUUUUGCCGUGAUGUAAACACUAGAUGACACUUGUUGAUGGAGGGCAGCAGAUUCUGGAUUUAGAAGAAAACCUUUAUCGAGUCCCACUGCCCUUGAAACGGAUGACAUCGAUUGGGCUCCAGAAGAGUCCCGACCCCUCCUGUCCUGGAGGACGAUCAAUGGACCCUCGGGCCGCUCCUGGAACAUCAGCAGAGGAUUAAACAAUCUCCCAGCACAACACAAUUAACUCUACUACACCUCGUGUCAAUAUCUAAGAGCAAACUACAUACACCACAGAGAAAUCACUUCCAAUUUUGUAUAUCGCAUGGCAAUAUUAAAGCAAUAGUUCACCAAAAAAUGACAAUUUGCUGGAAAUCUGCUCACUAUCAGGCCAUCCCAGAUGGAGUUGAGUUUGUUUCUCCAUCAGAACAGAUUCGGAGAAAUGUAGCAUUGCAUCUCUUGCUCACCAAACGAUCCAUUGAAGUGAAUGGGUGCCGUCAGAAUCUGAAUGUUUAAACAUUCAGAUGCCCCCCCCCCCCUCACACUUUCUA